rnacentral:lncRNA from 1 species
GGAAGAGGGGUAGUCUUGUGUGUAAGCAUAGCAUUUCUGGUCGAACCACCGAACCACACAUCUUUUUUUGGUGGGAGGGUACUCUGAGUAGUGGGUACCUCGUAGGACCUCGACCCGCCUACUCGGGUCUUGUAUGGAUAUGCAGGAAGGGGUNCUCCUAGGUGUGUGUAGGGGGUGUUUUGUUCGCGAGAAUGGAUUCCUCGUCAAGUCAGGGGGGUGUGGACACACUUGCGCGAAUUCGGGUAAUGGCUACAAGGGUGAAAAUAGAAAGGAAACUGUACCCGACCAGGGAUGGACAUAAACUCAUAAGCUACGGAUGGCAGGGAUAAUCUUCCAGGUCUUAUUGUAAAAAAAAAAAGCCGCCCCGCCACAGCAGGCAGGUUGGUUCCUCCGUCGUCGCCGGUUUUGGCGAGGAGACCAUAGGAUAACUUGCUAAAACAAACGGAGGGGAGCUGUUCAGUAUAAUUCCGAAGACUAUAGGACUGUUGGCAGCAGGUGGUUCUUUGGCCCCCUUAAAAAGAAAUGCGGGUGGGGUGGAGCUCGGCAGAGGGCUUAAAAAUAGGGUAGGGGCCUGUCCUUAAUCUUAAGAUAAGAAAAGGGGCGGGUCCAUUUAUGCAUGCAUCUCCGUACAGGUGCUGCUUACCACCAGAAAGAUCAAACCAAUUUGAAUCGCUGACCCGUAGUAGUAGCGUAAAGUUCGGUCGGGGGG